AGCUUUGCGCAGUGGCAGUAUCGUAGCCAAUGAGGUUUAACCGAGGCGCGAUUAUUGCUAAUUGAAAACUUUUCCCAAUACCCCGUCAUGACGACUUGAAAUAUAGUCGGCAUUGGCAAUUUUUGACAGUCUCUACGGAGA
rnacentral:snRNA from 1 species